rnacentral:rRNA from 1 species
AUGUCCUCCUCCUCGUCGCUCAAGCAGGACGACGUCCCCUCCUCGCCGGAGCUCCCCCCGCUGGCCGCGCCAGGCAUCGCGGCGGCGGCCGCCGCGGCCGCGGCCGCCGCUUCGUCCGGCGGCGGAGGGGGAGGGGUAGGGGCGGGCGGCGGCUCCGGGAGGAGGCUGCCCCCGCCGUGCUGGACGCACGAGGAGACCCUCGCGCUAAUCGAGGCGUACCGUGACAAGUGGGAGGCGCUCAAGAAGGGCAACCUGCGGGCGGCAGACUGGGACGAGGUCGCCGGCGCCGUCACCGCCCGCUGCGGGAGGUUCCCCACCGCCACCUACAAGUCCGGCGUGCAGUGCCGCCACAAGAUCGAGAAGCUCCGCAAGCGGUACCGCGCCGAGCGGACGCGCUCCAUGGGGCGCUCCAAGGGCCCCAAGUGGCCCUUCUUCCCGCUCCUCCACGACCUCGCCGGCGGCGGGGUCCCCGACGCCAGCCCCAACCCCAUCAUCAAGAUCAAGCCCAGGGGAAACGCCACCCCGGCGUCCCCUUCCCCCGUGUCGUCCCCCUCGUCCGAGGACGCCGGGCGGAGCAGGAGCCUCCACGGCCUCAUCUCCAACGGCGGGGGCGGCAGCGGGCUGCGCUUCACCAUCCCCAAGGCUUCGCGCACCAAGCCGGGGGUCCCGCGGGAGGCGAGGCCGGACCGGGACAGGGGCGAGGAGGACCCGGAGGCGGAGGCCAUGGCGGAGGUGGCGUCGGCACUGAGGGCCGUCGGCGAGGGGUUCCUGAGGAUGGAGGAGCGCAGGCUGGAGCUCUCGCUCCAGAUGGAGAAGGAGCGGAUGGAGUCGGAGAUGAAGCGCACCCAGGCGCUGCUCGACGCGCAGCAGCUCUUUGUCGAGGCGUUCCUCGGCAAGCAGCAGCCGCACCACAAGAAGCUGGUCUCCUCCGCCGCUGCUAUGGAGGAGGAUUGA